UAAGCGGAGNAAAAGAAACUANCANGGAUNCCCCUAGUACUGCGAGUGAAGCGGGAAAAGCUCAAAUUUAAAAUCUGGCGGCCUUUGCCCGCCCGAGUUGUAAUUUAGAGAAGCGUCUUCCGCGCCGGACCGUGCACAAGUCUCCUGGAAUGGAGCGUCAUAGAGGGUGAGAAUCCCGUCUUUGGCAUGGAUCCCCGGUGCUUCUGUGAUGCGCUCUCGAAGAGUCGAGUUGUUUGGGAAUGCAGCUCAAAAUGGGUGGUGAACUCCAUCUAAAGCUAAAUAUUGGCGAGAGACCGAUAGCGAACAAGUACCGUGAGGGAAAGAUGAAAAGCACUUUGGAAAGAGAGUGAAACAGUACGUGAAAUUGUUGAAAGGGAAACGCUUGAAGUCAGUCGCGUCGACCGAGACUCAGCCUUGCCUCGGCUUGGUGUACUUCUCGGCCCGACGGGUCAGCGUCAAUUUUGCCCCUCGGAUAAUGGCAAGGGAAAGGUGGCACCUUUACGGGUGUGUUAUAGUCUCCUGUCGCAUGCGAGGGGUGGGAUUGAGGAACUCAGCGCGCACCUUGGUGUCGGGGCUUCUGCCCACGUCACGCGCUUAGGAUGCUGGCGUAAUGGCCUUAAACGACC
rnacentral:rRNA from 1 species